CAUAGAAAACAGCGGCAAGGAGAGCGAUAAUUCAAUUCUCGACUUGGAUCUUAAUCCAGACGGUGUAAUUCGUCCAUUCAUGUUCGAGCCGCAACAUAGCUCGUCCUCAGGAGAAGGAGAAAUUUUUGUUGACGAAGAAACGCAGAGAUAUACAAGGAGAAACAUCUACGCACUCACGUCUUGGAAAUCGUGAGUGGUGCUCUUAGCUCGCGGCAACUGUCAAGAGAUGCCAACAGAAAACUAAAUUGCAGUCAAGAAAUUAAUGUACUAGGUGAUUGAUUCGCUCUGGAAGGGAACAAGCUUCAGUGUAUUACUAAGCACGGAUCAUUUAGACCCGUGUGUUUACUGGCCGACGUCUUAAGAACAGCCCUUAUUAGCACGCACCAAGUGAGAAAUGAUUGACUUGAAGAUUAUCCGUUAAAUGAGUAAGCAUUGACAGAAUCUAAACAUUUUCACAAAGUUCAUGCAAACAAAACGCUUAAGUUGUCUGCAAGUUAGUCUGAUGCGAACCGUAAGAAACAAAUGCAGUUUGUUGUCAGCCCUUUUAUCCCAAGCGAUGUAGUAAUCUUUUGUCGUAGGGGUGAACUUCACCGCAAUAUCAAUUGUAUACAGACUUCUUUAGUUUGUAUGCUUUGUUUUCCUAAUGGAGGUAAAUCAUGAGUAAGUAUGAACGUGAACGAGACAAAAUUGAAAGAAAGAGUACUAAAGAGAAUUAUUACAUUCCCUACUCUGGGAAAAUUAAAAAAAGGAGGUCUACUGUUCCAAAUUUGUUACGUGUACACAGAACUACACGUUAUACGACGCGCGUCAGGAAGUCUCCCGUUGUCGAAGUGUUAGCUUAGGAUAUAUCGAUCUCAUUACAAAUAGGCGCCUGCUUGACGAAAUAGAAUUUGUUUAUUUCAAAUGCAUUUGUCUUAGUUCCGUUCUGACCAUGUAUAAGAGUAUUUUGUUUUUUUCAUAUGAGUAUGCGAUUGGCGGGUUAUAGACAGUCCACUUGGUGGACUUAUAACAAUCUUGGUAACGGACAAACGCGUGACUCCUUCGCGUAUUGGGGCAUCAAUGAGAAGUAAUUACCCAAAUGCAGCCGGAAAUUAUAAAGGCUUUAAAGACGCUGAGGAGAAUGACUCAUGGCCGGGAUAGUCACGUUUAAUUAAAAAAAAAUUGUCUUUGUAUUUCCUAAACAUUAAAGGAGGUUUUUCUACGCC